rnacentral:rRNA from 1 species
GUCUACGGCCAUACCACCCUGAACACGCCCGAUCUUGUCUGAUCUCAGAAGGUAAGCAGGGUCGGGCCUGGUUAGUACUUGGAUGGGAGACCAUCUAGGAAGACCGAGCGAUGUAGGUG